GACGAACCGUGCGAACGUUGUUCGGAAUCACUGGGCUUAAAGGGCGCGUAGGCGGCUCGCGAGGUCGGGGGUGAAAUCCCACGGCUUAACCGUGGAAGGGCCUCCGAUACCGGCGGGCUGGAGGAAGGUAGGGGUGCGCGGAACUUCUGGUGGAGCGGUGAAAUGCGUUGAUAUCAGAAGGAACGCCGGCGGCGAAAGCGGCGCACUGGACCUUUUCUGACGCUGAGGCGCGAAAGCCAGGGGAGCAAACGGG
rnacentral:rRNA from 1 species